AGAGUUUGAUUCUGGCUCAGGAUGAGCGCUAGCGGCAGGCCUAAUACAUGCAAGUCGAGGGGCAGCAGGGGUAGCAAUACUCGCUGGCGACCGGCGCACGGGUGCGUAACACGUAUGCAACUUUCCUUCAACUGGAAGAUAGCCCGAAGAAAUUCGGAUUAAUAUUCCAUAGUUAUAUGAAAUGGCAUCAUUUUAUAUUUAAAGCUCAGGCGGUUGAGGAUGGGCAUGCGUUCGAUUAGCUAGUUGGUGGGGUAAUGGCUCACCAAGGCUACGAUCGAUAGGGGAUCUGAGAGGAUUAACCCCCACACUGGUACUGAGACACGGACCAGACUCCUACGGGAGGCAGCAGUAAGGAAUAUUGGACAAUGGAGGCAACUCUGAUCCAGCCAUGCCGCGUGAAGGAUGAAGGUCCUAUGGAUUGUAAACUUCUUUUGAACGGGAGAAAACCUUCGGUCGUGUACCGAAGCUGAUAGUACCGUUAGAAUAAGGGUCGGCUAACUUCGUGCCAGCAGCCGCGGUAAUACGAAGGACCCGAGCGUUAUCCGGAUUUAUUGGGUUUAAAGGGUGCGUAGGCGGAAUGGUAAGUCAGUGGUGAAAUCUUGUGGCUUAACUGCAAAACUGCCAUUGAUACUGCCAAUCUUGAGUACAUUUGAUGUGGGCGGAAUGUGCCAUGUAGUGGUGAAAUACUUAGAUUUGGCACAGAACACCGAUCGCGAAGGCAGCUCACAAAACUGUUACUGACGCUGAGGCACGAAAGCGUGGGGAUCAAACAGGAUUAGAUACCCUGGUAGUCCACGCCUUAAACUAUGAUUACUCGAUGUGUGCGAUACACAGUACGCGUCUAAGCGAAAGCGUUAAGUAAUCCACCUGGGGAGUACGGUCGCAAGAUUGAAACUCAAAGAAAUUGACGGGGGCCCGCACAAGCGGAGGAGCAUGUGGUUUAAUUCGAUGAUACGCGAGGAACCUUACCUGGGCUUGAAAGUUAGUGAAUGCUGUGGAAACAUGGCAGGCCGCAAGGACACGAAACUAGGUGCUGCAUGGCUGUCGUCAGCUCGUGCCGUGAGGUGUUGGGUUAAGUCCCGCAACGAGCGCAACCCCUAUCUUUAGUUGCCAGCGAGUAAUGUCGGGGACUCUAAGAAACUGCCCGUGCAAACGGUGAGGAAGGUGGGGAUGACGUCAAGUCAGCACGGCCCUUACGUCCAGGGCUACACACGUGCUACAAUGGCGAGUACAAAGGGCAGCUACAUGGUGACAUGAUGCUAAUCUCUAAAACUCGUCUCAGUUCGGAUUGAAGUCUGCAAUUCGACUUCAUGAAGCUGGAUUCGCUAGUAAUCGAAUAUCAGCAAUGAUUCGGUGAAUACGUUCCCGGGCCUUGUACACACCGCCCGUCAAACAAUGGAAGCUGAGGGUACUUAAAGUCGAUAACCGCAAGGAGUCGCCUAGGGUAAAAUCGGUAACUGGUGUUAAGUCGAAACGAGGUA
rnacentral:rRNA from 1 species